CGGCGCUCGGCGGAAGGGGAGGUCGCGGGGCGUGCCGGCCGUUCGAACGGCGGCGCUUCGGAGAGCGUGCUCGUGCUGGCGGCACGCGGCGGGACGAGGCGCUGCUGAGCUCGGGAGCGCCCGUGGCUUUGCUGAGAAGGAUCUCCGCGUUAAAGCUUCUCGGCGUUUGUGCAGACUGGCCUCAGUUGCGCGCCACGCGUGCCCGAGCGACGGCGUGACCGAUUGUAAAAACGGGCUGAAGCAAACUUCAAAACCUUUUAAUGCCUUUUUCCCGAAAUAAGCGUUGCUUGCAACGUCUGCAAAGCUGGAGCGAACCGCGCGCCUCUCGCGCCGCGGUAAGCGCCGCCAUUACAGCCCUGCUGCCGGAGGAACGCGGGCACAGAAAUAGGACGAGGCAGGAGGGUACGGUACUGCCCGAUAACAAACUGUUAAAGCCUAAGAAAUGUCAGUUACCUCGCUUCGCUAUAAAAGUAACGCUCGAGCUGUGCUGCGGGGUAAACCACGGCUGCUGGGAGACCUACAGCAAACAGAAGUUGUGUGGCGGUGGAGCUGUGACGUGAAAGCAUGGCAGCGGUCUGCCUUCCAGUACCGAAGUUUCAAAAUAUAGCAAAAAAAACCCCAAAAAACCAACCACGAUCAAACUAUUGAAUUCAAAAUCUCUGAGGCUGGAGGACAAACGUUGAGGUGAAGCCAGGUAUACCAACAAAGUCACCAGCACGGCAGAAGCACAGCAAAUCCGUUCCUAAGGGAUAGGUAUGGAAUAGUUGCUUAAAAGGACAUAAAACAUUGCCGUUAUUUAUUUUUCAGAUGUUUACAUAAGCCAUGAGCCAAUCUGUUUUAAACGGAGAGGUCAAGAACUGUGAAGAUGUAGGUGUGUUUAAGGCCAUUGGAAAAGUGGGCCCUGCGAGUUAACUCGAAGGUAGUCUGCAUAAAGUUCACUCAAGAUGAGUUUUGCAUGGACAAGAGGAAGGAGGAGCUUUAUCUUUCAAGAUGUGACUCCGACAGUCUUAUUAAUGGAAUUCAGUAUCAAGCAGCUUCCUCGUGUUCCUUUGUACCUACAGCAGACUUGAGGUCCCCUGUAACCAUUCAUCAAUCCACGAGUCCCACGUGAUCCACCACGAGACACUCCCCGACUGUUGUAAUAAGGCUGACUGUUGCGUGGAAAUCCAGUAUUCUGCUGGGGAGGUUGCUGGUGGUUUCCUGCCACUUGAUGGGUCUGGUCCGGAGAACCAUGGUAAGUACCAACCACUGUCUGGAGCUGUUCUUGCUGAAGAUCUGAUUGUUCUACUUGGUGUGGCUGAUUGGAGAAACUCUGGUUGUAACUGGCCUGGUACUGAUUUUGUUGCUUAAGGGCUUCUGGCUCAUUAACAGGAGGAACAGGUGCAUUCAUGUUGAAUACUGUUUGCAUGGAUUGGAAUGGAGCUGCAUUAACAUUGAUUCCGCUGCUAUGCAAAGGUUUGCUAGAUCCAGCUUGGAAAACUUGCGGCUGGGAUGCAGUGGGAAGUGAUGAUGAUGACGGGGUCUGGUCUGCAUUCAGUGACAUUGAAGCCUGAAUCUGGUCAAUGGAUUCCUUCUGUGGCCGUUGCUCUGUGGUAUGAGAAGGCUGAUACAUGGGCUGGGAGGCUGUAUAUCCCUCACUUGUAGAUGAAACCAAGGGAACCUGCGUAGCUUCUGGUUGCACAGGAACUUGAUUAGGCUGGGCAAGUCUUGACUCAGUAUGAACUGGAGGGCAGACCAUUUGCGGCAUGUCCAAAUUCUGUGCUGGAUUCAUGGGCUGUGCAGAUACAAUGGCAGGAUCAAGUGUCUGGUUCUCAAACUCCAGCAUAGAGUCCUGCAUGAAGUUAUAUGGACCCUGCAUCUGGGCCAUAAGGUCCUGUACUCUCUGUCUUCUAACAAGAGGAUCUGCUUGAGCCACAGUAGUGAGUGUAUGAGGUUCAGGAACUGGAGGAGAUGUAGCUUGUGUUUGUUGCUGCAGUGAAUUUACAACCUCAACCGUUUCAACUGUCCACUCAUCUACCUGUUCCUUCUCACUACUGCUGAACUGAGUCUCUGCCAUGAAUUGUCUGUUUACAUACUCAGUCGAUUCAACUUCAGUAGGUUCAGUAAAUUCUUCUGCUGGAUCAGGCUCAGCUUCUGCUACAGUGUCUUCUACUGCAGGUGUGGGUGCUGCCUCUUCUUCCUCACAUAACCCGUUCUGAUGGUUAUGGGUGCUAUCAAAGUAACUAGUUUGAAGAAUACGUUCAACAACCUCCUUCAGGGCUUUAUAGGUUGUUCCACAAACGGGUUUUUCCUUCCCUUCCAGUAAGUCCCACAGGUGAACAGAUGCUUGCUCAUACUGCUCAUUCAACCUCAUGUUCAUGUCCCUUUCAGGGUAAACUAGCUUGUAAAAUUCAUCCAGCAUUGUCAGUUCCUCCUCUGUCAGUACCGGUACUCCAUUUGAUCCUUGUUUCAAGUCACUGCGCACUUCAUCGUCACCCAACUUGUCCAAAAUGAACUGCAGCUCUAGCACAGUCUUUAAACGCUUCUGCUCAGCCUCUUCUCUCAUCAGCUGCUCCCUGCGAGCCGUCUUUUUUAUUGUUUUCUGGAUAUCUUGGCUCAGUGCCAUAAAGCUCCUCUGCAGUUCUUUAGCGAAUUCCAGGUUAUUUGUCACUUCCUGGUAUUUUGACACUGCAUCCAGUUGAUCUUGAUUUAGACGUUCCCCCUUGUUCAUUCGUUCCUGGUAAUCGUCAAGUUUGCUCUUUUUCUUCUCGAGGUUGCGGAGCUUUUUGUCGAUCACUCCCAAGAUCUGCUUCAUGGCCUCGGUCUGAACCGAGGUGAUGCUGCCGCCCGACGCCUGCGGGGCCGCCGCUGCCGCCGCCGGGGCCUGCUCGUUGCCGCCCGGGCCCGCCUUCCCGCUGCUGCUCGCCAUGGUGCCGUUGGUAGCCGAGGGCAUCUCUGCGCGGGAGAGAGCGCGCGUGAGGAGAACAGGCCGCCGGAGGGGACACGCGGGAGGGCGGGCGCGCACUCGGUCGCUUCCCCACGCCCAGGACGGACGCGCGCCAGCCGCACCUGCCGGCUGGGCGCGCCCCCGUCCCACUGACUCGGCCCCGGGGGCGCGCGGGGCGGUCACGUGACGGGCAGCCCCGCGCCGGCGCUCGCCCAGCCAACGGUCAUUCCCCCAGCGCGGCCAUUUCCACCCCCUCCCUCCCCGCCCCGCCGGUGUCCGGAGGGCCUCGCCGCCCCCCUCACCGUGUGCGUGAGUGGCCCGGGGGAGGGGGGACUCGGUGCGCUGCGCUCUCGCUAGAGGAAUGACCGUCUCAGCCGACUCCGGCCCCGCGCCGCUCCUUCCACCUCCGCACAGCGCUACUAUGGGAGAGAGCGAGAGCGCGCACGCGAGCGCGUAAGGCAGGCGGCGCGGGAGCGAGCGGCGCGGGGUCCUCGCCGUCCGCGAGUGCCCGCGGAGAACGCCUGAGCCCGCCGCGCAGGCGGAGGAGGCGCCUUCCAGCCGCGCCGCUGCCCUUCGGCUCGGCUCUCUCGGGUCCUUCAGGCGCGCGCAGGGCGCCUCAGCGCCAGACACAAUAGCGGGGCGGGGCGACCGCGGCGUGGCUCCCGCCCGCCAUCAGCGGCCGUGGCGUCCUGCGGGGCUGGGCGGGGGUGUCGUACAGCGCGGGUUGAGCCCCGUGGAACAACGGGCGCCCGUUGGGGAACGUGCUGUGCCGGGCGCCCAGCGGCAGCGCGGCUCCGAACGCGCCCUUCGCCUGCCGGUGCCCAGGAGGCACGUCUCUGUCCGGUGCCUGGCGCGCCGCAUUGGGCCUCGCUCAGCGCCUUUCGGCCGCUAAAAGCGGUUGGCUCAUUCGUUUUUCAGACUGGGUUUCAUCUUUAAUCCUCCUCAAUUCCCCAGUGCGAUACGUGCCUUUAAUAAAUUUCUGUGACCAGAGCUAACAACUGCUUGCUGAACCUUCACUUCCGUGCCAACGGCUGAUGAUUACUUCAGUAUCGGUUUGAAGAAAGCACAGUGAGAUGCUGCCUUUCUGUGCCUCCCUAUUCAGACAGCACGAAAACAAUGCUGAGCAGGCUGGAAGCUGGAUGACGCUGAAAACACGUUUAUCCUGUGGUGAUUGUGGAGUUAAUGGCUGCAGGACUAGAAAUACAAGGCCCUAAUACUCAAUUUCCCUCAAUUCCACUUCUUAAAUGAAAUUUUCAGUUGCAAUUCCACUUCAGGACUUUGUUUAAUCCUGGAUGCCGUGGGUUGUUUUUCUUUUGUUUGUUUUUUAACAUCAGCACAAAUGAGAGCGGUUCCUUGAACAACUGUGCCAACCCCAUGGUUCUCCACAUCAGAAGGGAGAGAUCUCCUCGCCCUUCCCAUCCCUGCCUGACCCCUGUGCACAGUCACACAGCCCCAGUUCUGAUUCUGGCUGCCCAUGAGUUAAUGCAAGUUGGUAAUCAGCAGAAAACUGCUUUCUUAGACCUCAUGCUUUAGCAGUUAAUGCCUGGAUAGUCAGAUUUUUCUUCAUGGCAUCCGUAAAUACUGUUUUGUAGACCUUACAUGUAUGCAUGCAUUUAAAAUAGCAGUUCGAUGCUUUGCCAUUUUAUAAUAGCUAAUUUGCUUUCCAGAUCACUGCAUUUUGCAUAACAGGUUAUAAGACAAGUGUAAUAAAUCAACCAACCCCAUAUAUUUCACUUGAAUAAAUAUACGUGUCCUCAGAUAUUGAAAGUCAGUUUCUUUUCCCAACUCACUGAGAAGUUGUGGUUCAUACCACUGUUAAGAUUUGCUUUUUAUGCAGUAACAUAUUUCUGCAAGCCCCAUACCCAGCGGUUGAAAUCACUUUUCCUCACUCACAUUCUUCGUGAACACUGAGGCAUUUUGGCCAUUAAAUGUAACACCUGAAAACAUGGAGUUGUUUCAUCCAUUGCUACUUAUUUCUUCUUAUUACAUUGCCAUCCCAAUAAGCUGUGGCAGCUCAACAGCUGAGAAAAAUCAGCUGAAUCAGAGAGAGCUUAACUUAGUUUGUACUCAGAGGCUGUAUUUCUAACAAACACACAUCUGCAAGAAAAAUAAACAACAGAGUUGAUGGAAGAAUUGGCAACAAUAAGUUUAAAAGUAUCUGUUGGGUCAGAAUAAAGAUUUUGUCCACCAAUGUAAGAUAUUUAUUCUUAGUGGGGAAGCACAAGAAAAUAGCACAGUCUCACAAAAAGGCUAAAAAUACUGCUCCCGAGAGCAGUUAUU
rnacentral:lncRNA from 1 species